UACGGGGGGGGGCAAGCGUUGUUCGGAAUUACUGGGCGUAAAGGGCGCGUAGGCGGCCUUCUAAGUCAGACGUGAAAUCCCCAGGCUCAACCUGGGAACUGCGUCUGAUACUGGAGGGCUUGAAUCCGGGAGAGGGAUGUGGAAUUCCAGGUGUAGCGGUGAAAUGCGUAGAUAUCUGGAGGAACACCGGUGGCGAAGGCGGCAUCCUGGACCGGUAUUGACGCUGAGGCGCGAAAGCCAGGGGAGCAAACGGG
rnacentral:rRNA from 1 species